CUCUGAUGUUAGCGGCGGACGGGUGAGUAACACGUGGAUAACCUACCUAUAAGACUGGGAUAACUUCGGGAAACCGGAGCUAAUACCGGAUAAUAUUUUGAACCGCAGGUUCAAAAGUGAAAGACGGUCUUGCUGUCACUUAUAGAUGGAUCCGCGCUGCAUUAGCUAGUUGGUAAGGUAACGGCUUACCAAGGCAACGAUGCAUAGCCGACCUGAGAGGGUGAUCGGCCACACUGGAACUGAGACACGGUCCAGACUCCUACGGGAGGCAGCAGUAGGGAAUCUUCCGCAAUGGGCGAAAGCCUGACGGAGCAACGCCGCGUGAGUGAUGAAGGUCUUCGGAUCGUAAAACUCUGUUAUUAGGGAAGAACAUAUGUGUAAGUAACUGUGCACAUCUUGAC
rnacentral:rRNA from 1 species